rnacentral:rRNA from 1 species
AGAGUUUGAUCCUGGCUCAGGAUGAACGCUAGCGACAGGCUUAACACAUGCAAGUCGAGGGGCAGCACAGGUAGCAAUACCGGGUGGCGACCGGCGCACGGGUGAGUAACGCGUAUGCAACUUACCUAUCAGAGGGGGAUAACCCGGCGAAAGUCGGACUAAUACCGCAUGAAGCAGGGGCCCCGCAUGGGGAUAUUUGCUAAAGAUUCAUCGCUGAUAGAUAGGCAUGCGUUCCAUUAGGCAGUUGGCGGGGUAACGGCCCACCAAACCGACGAUGGAUAGGGGUUCUGAGAGGAAGGUCCCCCACAUUGGUACUGAGACACGGACCAAACUCCUACGGGAGGCAGCAGUGAGGAAUAUUGGUCAAUGGACGAGAGUCUGAACCAGCCAAGUCGCGUGAAGGAAGACGGAUCUAUGGUUUGUAAACUUCUUUAGUGCGGGAACAAAGCGGCGUCGUGACGCCGGAUGAGUGUACCGCAAGAAUAAGCAUCGGCUAACUCCGUGCCAGCAGCCGCGGUAAUACGGAGGAUGCGAGCGUUAUCCGGAUUUAUUGGGUUUAAAGGGAGCGCAGACGGGUCGUUAAGUCAGCUGUGAAAGUUUGGGGCUCAACCUUAAAAUUGCAGUUGAUACUGGCGUCCUUGAGUGCGGUUGAGGUGUGCGGAAUUCGUGGUGUAGCGGUGAAAUGCUUAGAUAUCACGAAGAACUCCGAUUGCGAAGGCAGCACACUAAUCCGUAACUGACGUUCAUGCUCGAAAGUGUGGGUAUCAAACAGGAUUAGAUACCCUGGUAGUCCACACGGUAAACGAUGGAUACUCGCUGUUGGCGAUAUACUGUCAGCGGCCAAGCGAAAGCAUUAAGUAUCCCACCUGGGGAGUACGCCGGCAACGGUGAAACUCAAAGGAAUUGACGGGGGCCCGCACAAGCGGAGGAACAUGUG